CCCUGUUGCUUUGGCGGGCCCACCGGGGCCACCCGGUCGCCGGGGGACGCACGUCCCCGGGCCCGCGCCCGCCGAAGCGCUCUGUGAACCCUGAUGAAGAUGGGCUGUCUGAGUACUAUGAAAAUUGUCAAAACUUUCAACAAUGGAUCUCUUGGUUCCGGCAUCGAUGAAGAACGCAGCGAAAUGCGAUAAGUAAUGUGAAUUGCAGAAUUCCGUGAAUCAUCGAAUCUUUGAACGCACAUUGCGCCCCCUGGCAUUCCGGGGGGCAUGCCUGUCCGAGCGUCAUUUCUGCCCUCAAGCACGGCUUGUGUGUUGGGUGCGGUCCCCCCGGGGACCCGCCCGAAAGGCAGCGGCGACGUCCGUCUGGUCCUCGAGCGUAUGGGGCUUUGUCACUCGCUCGGGAAGGACCUGCGGGGGUUGAUCACCACCAUAUUUUUACCACGGUUGACCUCGGAUCAGGUAGGAGUUACCCGCUGAACUUAAGCAUAU
rnacentral:rRNA from 1 species